GUGUCAGCAGCCGCGGUAAGACGAACCGUCCUAACGUUGUUCGGAAUCACUGGGCUUAAAGGGCGCGUAGGCGGCUCAUCAAGUCCGGGGUGAAAGCCUCCAGCUUAACUGGAGAAGUGCCUCGGAUACUGGUGGGCUUGAGGGAGGUAGGGGCAACUGGAACUUCCGGUGGAGCGGUGAAAUGCGUUGAUAUCGGAAGGAACGCCGGUGGCGAAAGCGAGUUGCUGGAUCUCUUCUGACGCUGAGGCGCGAAAGCUAGGGGAGCAAACGGGAUUAGAUACCCCCGUAGUCC
rnacentral:rRNA from 1 species